rnacentral:rRNA from 1 species
GACGAACGCUGGCGGCGUGCUUAACACAUGCAAGUCGAACGGAAAGGCCCUGCUUUUGUGGUGUGCUCGAGUGGCGAACGGGUGAGUAACACGUGAGUAACCUGCCCUUGACUUUGGUAUAACUUCAGGAAACUGGGGCUAAUACCGGAUAGGAUCUCCUGCUGCAUGGUGGGGGUUGGAAAGUUUCGGCGGUUGGGGAUGGACUCGCGGCUUAUCAGCUUGUUGGUUGGGUAGUGGCUUACCAAGGCUUUGACGGGUAGCCGGCCUGAGAGGGUGACCGGCCACAUUGGGACUGAGAUACGGCCCAGACUCCUACGGGAGGCAGCAGUGGGGAAUAUUGCACAAUGGGAGGAAGCCUGAUGAAGCAACGCCGCGUGCGGGAUGACGGCCUUCGGGUUGUAAACCGCUUUCGCCUGUGACGAAGCGUGAGUGACGGUAAUGGGUAAAGAAGCACCGGCUAACUACGUG